rnacentral:rRNA from 1 species
UACGGAGGGUGCAAGCGUUAAUCGGAAUUACUGGGCGUAAAGCGAGUGUAGGCGGUUGCAUAAGUCGGAUGUGAAAGCCCCGGGCUUAACCUGGGAAUGGCAUUCGAUACUGUGCGACUCGAGUCUGAUAGAGGGAAGUGGAAUUCCAGGUGUAGCGGUGAAAUGCGUAGAUAUCUGGAAGAACACCAGUGGCGAAGGCGGCUUCCUGGAUCAAGACUGACGCUGAGGCUCGAAAGCGUGGGGAGCAAACAGG